rnacentral:rRNA from 1 species
GACGAACGCUGGCGGCGUGCCUAACACAUGCAAGUCGAACGAAGCAUAGCAAUAUGCUUAGUGGCGGACGGGUGAGUAACGCGUGAACAAUCUGCCCUGUACAAAGGAAUAGCCUCGGGAAACCGGGAUUAAAACCGUAUGACACUUUAGUAUCGCAUGAUAAGAAAGUCAAAAUCGAAUAGAGGUAUGGGAUGAGUUCGCGUCUGAUUAGCUGGUUGGCGGGGUAACGGCCCACCAAGGCGACGAUCAGUAGCCGGUCUGAGAGGAUGGACGGCCACACUGGGACUGAGACACGGCCCAGACUCCUACGGGAGGCAGCAGUGGGGAAUCUUCCGCAAUGGACGAAAGUCUGACGGAGCGACGCCGCGUGAGUGAUGAAGGCCCUUGGGUCGUAAAGCUCUGUCAUCAGGGACGAACGGUCACGUCAGGAAAUGGGCGUGAAUUGACGGUACCUGAGAAGGAAGCCACGGCUAACUACGUG